rnacentral:rRNA from 1 species
GCAAGCAGCUGUAUCACCCUGUAACUCACAACUAGUAGCCCACUGAAGCUCAGCAGGUGUGAGCCUGGCCAGUACAUGGAUGGGAGACCUCCUGGGAAACCUAAGGUUGCUGUUGGAA